AAAUAAGAGCCCGCAAUUGCAUUUUGGUUUCGGCCCAAAUUUCUGAGGUGAGACCCCUCACUUAUUUU
rnacentral:tRNA from 1 species